rnacentral:rRNA from 1 species
GAAUGCGGUGGUCAAAGUCUGUCUAAACGGCAUGACUGGACGCCCGCUUCCUAUCUUUGGGUAAUAGCUCUCAUCUUUCGGGGUGAGAUGUCUGUUCCCAAUCAUUUACUUUGAAAAAAUUAGAGUGUUCAAAGCAGGCGUAACCUUGCCAUUGAAUAGUACAGCAUGGGAUAAUAGAAUAUGACAUUAGUUAAAAUUUGUUGGUUUCUUUGGCUAAUGUA